GUUGAAAAGAACUUUGAAAAGAGAGUUCAACAGAGCGUGAAACUACCACGAGGUUAAAGCGGAUGGACAAACGUAAAUCGAAAAGACGGAUUCAGCUCUUUCUCGUAGGUACCUCCUCCGACGACGUUUCGGUCGUUUCGCGGCUCCGUUCGCGGCGCGGUCGUCUCGCUCGCUCGGUAGGUGGAUACUUCCCGAGAGGGUGUAAUUCCGAUCUCAGUAGAUCAUCGCGGCUGUUGGAUACGUUGUCUGAAGGUUCGAGGGCCCGGGACCCGUCCUGCGAUUCCAAUCCUCUCUUCAACCUUUUUGGAGGCGCCCGAGGAGAAAUGGGAUUCGGUCGUGGGGCGGUGACGCUUCGUUUUCCUGACGGACGUUCCGACAGUGAGUUUAGCUCUAACGGUAUGGGCGAUGGCGGUCUUUAUAUAGACUUAGCCGCAGUGUCUGAACUAAAUAGACACCGAUGUACCUCACCGUCUCGCGUUGAAAAUUCAACGAUCGUUCAUCCGUCCCGUCUUGAAACACGGACCAAGGAGUCUGACCAGUACGCGAGUCAAAGGGUAUUCACUAAACCCCUGGGCGAAACGAAAGUGAGUUCGUAAAGUGAGUUCGCACAUGUCGAACAACAACAACAGCAGCGGCGA
rnacentral:rRNA from 1 species